CAGGGUAUGCUUGUUUUUGCAGGAAAUGAACAAAAAGUGUGGGUGCCCCCAAGGUGUGUACUACCAUGGAAUGGGAGAUUGGAGGGACACAUGGAUCCCAACCGUGGGCCUGGUUCCCCCAGUAUGAGCUGAAUACGAAGACAGAACAAACCACCAACCGGCAAUUGAAGUAAAUGAUAGCUCCUUACAAAUACAGAGGACAAAAUAAAAGUGACUUAAUUAUAAAAACACAGUGACACAAAGUGAACCGGGUUCUAUAAAUUACCAUGGAAAGUGGUGAGCCAACGAUUUGGCAGAACAAAACCCUGAGGAUAUGCAAACAAAAGGGACUAUGGAAUUUGCAAUUGCAGAUUAAAAUUGAAGAAGAAAACAUUUGAGUUGCAAAUACCGUAUUAAAAGUGGACACUGCUUAUGACUGCUGUAUGCAACAGUUUUUCAGGCCCGAGGUGAUAAAUAAAAAAUUGUUUGCUCUAUUUAACCAUUGAA
ensembl:lncRNA LINC02303 long intergenic non-protein coding RNA 2303